rnacentral:rRNA from 1 species
AUUGAACGCUGGCGGUAUGCUUAACACAUGCAAGUCGAACGGUAGCAGGCCUUCGGGCGCUGACGAGUGGCGGACGGGUGAGUAAUGCAUAGGAAUCUGCCUCGUAGUGGGGGACAACUUAGGGAAACUUAAGCUAAUACCGCAUACGCCCUGAGGGGGAAAGCGGGGGGCUCGCAAGACCUCGCGCUAUGAGAUGAGCCUAUGUUGGAUUAGCUAGUUGGUGGGGUAAAGGCCUACCAAGGCGACGAUCCAUAGCUGGUCUGAGAGGAUGAUCAGCCACACUGGGACUGAGACACGGCCCAGACUCCUACGGGAGGCAGCAGUGGGGAAUAUUGGACAAUGGGCGAAAGCCUGAUCCAGCAAUACCGCGUGUGUGAAGAAGGCCUGAGGGUUGUAAAGCACUUUCAAUAGGGAGGAAAAAGCGUAGAUUAAUACUCUGCGUAUUGACAUUACCUAUAGAAGAAGCACCGGCUAACUCCGUG